AUUCCAGCUCCAAUAGUGUAUAUUAAAGUUGUUGCAGUUAGAACGCUCGUAGUCGGAUUUCGGGGCGGUCCGACCGGUCUGCCGAUGGGUACGCACUGGUCGGAGCGUCCUUUUUGCCGGAGACCGUGCCUACUCUUAACCGAGCGGGCGCGGGAGACGGGUCUUUUACUUUGAAAAAAUCAGAGUGUUUCAAGCAGGCAGUCGCUCUUGCAUGGAUUAGCAUGGGAUAAUGAAAUAGGACUCUGGUGCUAUUUUGUUGGUUUCGAACACCGGAGUAAUGAUUAACAGGGACAGUCAGGGGCACUCGUAUUCCGCCGAGAGAGGUGAAAUUCUCAGACCAGCGGAAGACGAACCACUGCGAAAGCAUUUGCCAGGGAUGUUUUCAUUA
rnacentral:rRNA from 1 species